CCUUUGUCUUCCCAGAGACCGCUGACACGGAUAUGUACCGUUUGAUUGUCACCAAGUUCAGGUUCUCCAUGGGGUGAUGACACCUGCACGGUCCUUCUUUCUAGCCCUCGCCCUCGUGACGUCAUUAUGGUGCACGGCGUCCUACAGACUAACUGGAGAUGUGGACAGGUCAAGGGCGUACAGGUCAAGGUCAGACACAUACAAGGACAGACAAGCAGACACACUAUCAACAUGGUCACGUGACGCAGACCUCCAGCUAACAAAUGACGUCACUAACGCCAGUAUUGUGACGUCACCACCAGUUACACCUGGACGUAAAAUUCGAGACACAAUUUUACAUCACGCCCGACACAGACGCCA